rnacentral:piRNA from 1 species
GCCCAGGGAGUGGAGAGAGUCGCCUACAGC